UUCCUCUCAGGAUCGCACUUGGACAAUUUCUAGUACUGUACCAGUCUCGGCCGCAGGAAGGAGAGUCAAGCAGAGGCCUACCCAUUCCAUUCCUAGCUUAGGCAGUGGCUAGCAAGUGGAAGGAAAUCUGCUACAAGU